rnacentral:lncRNA from 1 species
AUGAUCAAGAAUAUAGUGGAGAGGACAGCGAUGAUUCAGUCAAGCGAAAAUUUCAAAGGAAAACUACAAAUAACAACUGUCGUGCAUCUUUGUAUCAAACACCAACUCAAAACAGUUUCUUAAACCAUAAUGCUCCACUUUUUGUUCCAAGAAAUAACGCAAAAACUGUUACUUCAACUGUAGCGACAGCAAAGUUCAACAAAAAUGAAACAGUCAAUAAUCGUCAACUAAGCUUAGCCGAAGCAUCAGUGGGUGACGGAAUCGCAAAUGCGCUGCCAUCAACUAGUCAGAAUCAGAAGCAGCAAAUGAAUGCAAAGUCGCAGGCGGGACAGAUCGUCACAGCAGCUUCAGUAAUCUUGGAAAGACAACUAUAAAUGCAAAGUCGCAGGCGGGAAAGAUCGUCACAGCAGCUUUAGUAAUCUUGGAAAGACAACUAUUGGAAGUGAUGGAAAUGCCAAAUCCAAUUCUCCCAGGAAGACACUUAUAUGAAGAAGGGGAAGAAGAGGAUAUUUUAAACCAAUGACGAGCAGACGCUUCAAUAAAAGGAGAUCUGUCACCAAUGCAUAGCGCAAGAAAGAAGAAAUCUCAUCAAAGCGAAAGAAGUUGGGACGGCAGGGCGUGUGAAGACGUAAUCAUAAGGAAGCUCCCAAUGAGAAAUGCAAAGAAAAAACAAACAGUGCAACCUUCCGUCUUAAAACCUACUCGACUGAGGAACAAGCGGGAAGUUUAAAGACAUUUGGAGUCAACACUCCACAUACUUGAAGAAAAGAAAGCAAUUAUGCUUUCUUUCCCAUCUCUUUAAUGUUUAUUGUUUUCUUGCUUUUUAUUUUAUGAGGCUUUUUUUUAGCAACGAUAGGUUUUAUAAGGUAUGGUCGCUGCCGG